GGCGUCUUUCGCCGCGGCGGGGCUCGACCGCUGACGGAAGUGAUCGUCGGUUACAUCGACCAGCACAAGGACCGUCUUGGGGUCGAGCCGCUCUGCGAGGUCCUGCAGGUCGCCCGG
rfam:Cellulomonas carbonis T26 contig75, whole genome shotgun sequence.